ACGUAUGGUGCAAGCGUUAUCCGGAUUUACUGGGUGUAAAGGGAGCGCAGGCGGUGCGGCAAGUCUGAUGUGAAAGCCCGGGGCUCAACCCCGGUACUGCAUUGGAAACUGUCGUACUAGAGUGUCGGAGGGGUAAGCGGAAUUCCUAGUGUAGCGGUGAAAUGCGUAGAUAUUAGGAGGAACACCAGUGGCGAAGGCGGCUUGCUGGACGAUAACUGACGCUGAGGCUCGAAAGCGUGGGGAGCAAACAG
rnacentral:rRNA from 1 species